CGUAGGGUGCGAGCGUUUAAUCGGAAUUACUGGGCGUAAAGCGUGCGCAGGCGGUUUGUUAAGAUAGGCGUGAAAUCCCCGGGCUCAACCUGGGAACUGCGCUUAUGACUGGCAAGCUAGAGUACGGCAGAGGGGGGUGGAAUUCCACGUGUAGCAGUGAAAUGCGUAGAGAUGUGGAGGAACACCAAUGGCGAAGGCAGCCCCCUGGGUCGAUACUGACGCUCAUGCACGAAAGCGUGGGUAGCAAACAGGAUUAGAUACCCUGGUAGUCCACGCCCUAAACGAUGUCAACUAGGUGUUGGGAGGGUAAAACCUUUUAGUACCGGAGCUAACGCGUGAAGUUGACCGCCUGGGGAGUACGGCCGCAAGGUUA
rnacentral:rRNA from 1 species